rnacentral:rRNA from 1 species
UCUGCAACUCGACUGCAUGAAGCUGGAAUCGCUAGUAAUCGCGAAUCAGAAUGUCGCGGUGAAUACGUUCCCGGGCCUUGUACACACCGCCCGUCACACCAUGGGAGUUGGAAGCACCCGAAGUCGGUGACCUGACCGCAAGGGAGGAGCCGCCGAAGGUGAAGCCAGCGACUGGGGUGAAGUCGUAACAAGGUAGC